AUUGAACGCUGGCGGCAGGCCUAACACAUGCAAGUCGAGCGGAAACGAGUUAACUGAACCUUCGGGGAACGUUAACGGCGUCGAGCGGCGGACGGGUGAGUAAUGCCUGGGAAAUUGCCCUGAUGUGGGGGAUAACCAUUGGAAACGAUGGCUAAUACCGCAUAAUAGCUUCGGCUCAAAGAGGGGGACCUUCGGGCCUCUCGCGUCAGGAUAUGCCCAGGUGGGAUUAGCUAGUUGGUGAGGUAAUGGCUCACCAAGGCGACGAUCCCUAGCUGGUCUGAGAGGAUGAUCAGCCACACUGGAACUGAGACACGGUCCAGACUCCUACGGGAGGCAGCAGUGGGGAAUAUUGCACAAUGGGCGCAAGCCUGAUGCAGCCAUGCCGCGUGUGUGAAGAAGGCCUUCGGGUUGUAAAGCACUUUCAGCAGUGAGGAAGGCGGGUA
rnacentral:rRNA from 1 species